UACGGGGGGGGCAAGCGUUGUUCGGAAUUACUGGGCGUAAAGGGCUCGUAGGCGGCCAACUAAGUCAGACGUGAAAUCCCUCGGCUUAACCGGGGAACUGCGUCUGAUACUGGAUGGCUUGAGGUUGGGAGAGGGAUGCGGAAUUCCAGGUGUAGCGGUGAAAUGCGCAGAUAUCAGGAGGAACACCGGUGGCGAAGGCGGAUCUCUGGGCCUUACCUGACGCUCAGGUGCGAAAGCUAGGGGAGCGAACAGG
rnacentral:rRNA from 1 species